AUUUACACUUCAUUCUAUCACAUAAAAUUAAAAGCUCUACAGAGACAUACAGCUUAAAUAUUAUAAUAAAAUACAACACUUACAAAUGAAAUUAUAUCUAAUUUGACUUUAGAUAUGUGUCCCAUAUCUUCUUAAUGGUUUCCUGAAGACCUCUGAGUUGAAGCUGACGAGAACCAGAGAUUUUUUUUCAUAUUUCCUCUUUGCCUCAACUACGUGCUGUCAGUUAGGAAAUCCACAGCUCAGUAUUGACAUGUGUGAUUCCCAGUUUGACUUCUGCGCUGGAGUCCAACUGGAACUGUGCACCAGUGAAGGUCUGCUUGCAUAAAGGGCCUCUCUGAAAUGGGGCACUCAAGAGACAAAGGCCUGUUCAUAUAUAAAAGGGGGAAGAGAAUACUGGAACAAAGAGGAAUUUCUACUAUUUCCUGCUUUGGUAACAGAUAAACAUAAUGAACUCUUCUGGAUGAAGGCUGAAAGUCACAGAGCUAUGAAAUAAUGCAAUUGAAAAUGGAGGAAGAGUGGUCCCAGUGCUGUCAUACCAGCAGUGAAUGCACAUCAGACAAUGCAAAAUGCUGUACGCUCAACAGAGACAUGGUCCAUAAUACAAGAGCAUAGGAAUUUCAUUUCCAUGCAGAGCUCAAUACAAUUAAAAAAGAAAAAAAAAGAAAAGAAAGAAAAAAGAAAGAAAAAAAAGAGCGGGAUUAUAUGAGUGGUAAUUUGGUGUUAUGGAUAUAUGGAUGAGGUAUUUUCUUAGAAGCCUUAAAAUGAUGAUGAUUGCAGUUUGGUCCAUGACCCGGGGGGGGACUUCCUGCUUCUGCUGGUGAGUUUGCUUGUUUGUUUGUUAUUGCGCACAUUGCUCUAGAGAAGUAGGACUUAGCAAGAAAAAUUAACCUAUUUUACUUUAUUUUUUACUUCUAUAGCGUUGCUAUUGCAAUUCCAUAGAGUUCCAUUAUUUUCUCAUGCAGAAGCACAUUAUAACUUUUAGUUUUCAUUGUUUCAGAUGAAUGUUUAUAUUUAAAAAAUGAUAAUAAUUAUGUUUUUCACUAAAGAAAGUUGUGGGACUUCUCAUUACAACCUCUAUAAAAUGUGAAGAUUUACUCUUCAGCAUGGAGAGAGAGAGAGAGGGGCAUCACAUCCCUCUCCUGCCUUUGUUCAGGGGAAAAGAAAACUUCAUUUUUUAUAUUUUAGGAUAGUCUAUUUUAAGAACUAGUCCAUAGAAGUCCAUGGAGUUUAAUGUCAUUUCUUCAACUGCAAUGCAAAGAGAAACUGAAACAUGAAAAAAAGCACAUGCUGAGAAAUAAUAUUCUGGCAGUGGAGUUCAUUUUCAACAAAAAACAAAUAAUACUGGUCCCCUCACAAAGACUUGGUAAAUAUUAACUAGCACCCAGACGACAUAAGCAAUGACUCAGAUACACGGGAAAAAAAAGCCCCCAAAGUUCCUGUUUCACUGGAGCAUUCCAGAACCUGCUGCAGUGAACCUCAGGAAGUCAGGCCAUGUCUGGAGGGCACAGCAGCACUGUGGCCCAAUGUCCCCCAUGGCCAUCUUCUCCCUGUCUCCUCUUGCAAGUUUGGAGUGAACAACAGAAAGCAGUCGCUCCUCAGAGUGCUGUCUUUUCAGGGACUGACUGCAAGAUUUCAAGUUGUUGAUCAUACGGACUUGAUUGUAGAUGUGAGUUGCACCUUCCUGACUACAAACACUGAGCCAGGUUAAUGUCUGUACCUUAGGAGCCUUAGGAGCACAAAAAGUUCUGCUCCCCUGAAAGGGACUUCAAAGAAGAAAGGAAAAAAAAAGCCAUCGGUUCAACAAUUUACAUAUUCCUCUCACGAAAGAAAAAUGGGGAGAAACAGUACAUAUGCUUACUACCCAGCUUCCUUCCUUGUGAGGAACCUCCUCUGACUGCCAUGACCUUUCUAAGGUAAUCAAGAGUGGCUUCACAAUGACACUGACCAGCUUCCUCAGUGCUCGUGGGGAUCUCAUCAGGUCACAUGGACUUGUGCACGCACAAUUUCUUUAAAUCUUCCCUGACAUGAUCCUCUUCUGUACAGGGUCUAGUGAGAUUAACAACUUGCACAUCAAUUCUGAGCAUCAACAGUGCACCUAACAUAAUGCAGUUUUAAAUGAAAAAAAGCCUGCUCUGAAAAGUUUUAUAUACUUUGGUCUGGAUCAUCAGCUAAUGUAAAUUACUACAGCUCAAUUGACUUCAGUGGACUUAUGCUAGUGCUCCUGAGUGGAUGAUUUUGUCUUCUUUUUUUAUUCAGGAAAUGUUUCUGGUUUGAGCCAUGUGAAUGUCGGAGGGGAGAACACUGAUUUCACUUAUAUAUGUGAGAUCUCAUCUGUGUAUGCCCAGAACAUGUCUGUUAAACUCAAUGGAUUAAUUCCAGAUUUUCAUCCCUGUAAAUGAGAUCAGAAUUGUCUUGGAAUGUGCUUUUGGCUCUUAGCACCCCCUCCCCCAACACAAACACUCAGUACAGAGAGGGAUUUUUCUGUUCAUCCUAAUUAAGAAAGAAAGAGAUAGAUAGAGAAGGACAUUCACAGACAUCGAAAGUGUGAAUACUUCUUUGUAGAUAGGUACAAAACCAGACUUGGCAAUGUGUCCUUACUUGCUGUUUCACCCUGUUAUUUUUUUUAUGGAGAAGCUUACGUAUUGGGAAUAAUAUAGCAGCUCCCUAUAUCUGAAUAUUGUCAUCAACCAGGCAAAUUUGGAUACAAAAUGUAGCUUGUAACUAUACCAAAAACAAAGCAAAACAAUAGCAACAAAAAAAAAAAAAAAAAAAAAAAAAAGAAAGAAAGAAAAAAACAACCAAACCAACCCAAACAAAUCAACAACAAAAUCACACACCAACAAAAAACCUGAUUCCUGAUUCUUGAAGACAGAAACAGGUCCUUAAGAAUGCUGGAGCAUUACUUAGCCAGAACACUAAAUAACAGAGUAUUUAGCAAGCACAGAAGAUAAAAGUUUUAUUUUGAAUUGAAAAACUGAGACUGAAUUGAAAAGAUGCUAAGGAAAAUUUUUAGUCUUUUCAGUUGCUCGGAAAGAAAAAAAUAUCAACAACACUCCCUCCAGUAUAACCAGUUCUAUGCCUCUUCAGCAUAACUGGUAGGAGACACAUAGUACAAACAUUCAAUCCAGAAUCCUUACAUCCCCAGAAUCGGAACCGUAGAUACCCAAAGUGGUGGUACUAAUGGCAUCCUCUGCAUAGCUGCUGAAGGGCUAUGUUGACCCCCAUGAUAAUAUUGUACAGUACUUUGACUCAUCUUUAAUUCUGAUUAAGCUGUGCAAUUUUAUCAAUUUAAGGUCAAGGUCUUGAAUAAAUUCUUUUGUGAGGACUAUUAGCAGGUCUUUUAAAAUUAAAAAGACCCGUGUGUCUAAUGGUCUUAUGAGAAUAGAAUUACAAACGAUGAUCUUUAAAAUAAAUUGUAAUUUUAUGGAUACUUAUUAGGAGAAUUUAUUGUAUUGGUAAUUUGCUAUAUCAUAAGUGCCACUGCCAGUUUAGUGAGUUGUAGCAGAAGAAAAGAAUGCAGCAGCUACUUAUUACUGUAUUUUUGUCCUUGCCUUUGGUGCUGUUGAUUUGAAGUGUGGGGGAGGUUUUUACAGGAUAUUUAAGGUUUGUGAUCUCUUACUGUGCAGUAAGGAUGACCUGCAAGUUGUCAUGUUCUGGCCCUGAUCCAGCAAAGCACUUAAGUGUGUGCUUAACUUUGAGCAUUUGAGUUCCAUUUACUUUAACGUGAUUACUCAUGUGCACAAAAUUAAGCACAUGCUUAAGUGCCUUGUUGAUUGCAGCCAAUGCUGUGCGUUCAGCAGAUUUGAACUUCCUAAGGAAGUUAGAAGAAGUACAAGUUAGGAAGAUUUAGUUAUUACAUUACAGGCAGUGGGGAAGGAUGCUGUCAUCGACAGCACCAAACCCAACUAUAUUAAUUUACUUUGUUAACUUCUUUGUCUCCUAAGUGAGACAAUGUAUUUCUUGCAAUCGAAGAACGUCAUACAGAAGAGCUGUGUUGCUCCGAUAAUCUGAGUAGAUAUGAUUGAAGUCUGAAUAGUUUUUUUUUUUUACUUUUUUUUUUUCAUAAAAUGUAAGGUUUAUUUGUCUGAUAUAUUGUUGCUUUUGAGUGCUGGAAAGGCAUUUUAUUUGGGAUACUUGAUUAAGGCUCACAAGCACAGCAUUCUUAAAGGAUGAAUCCUUAUCUAGAAUGGAUACAAAUGCUUCACUUGUUUGAAAAGCUUUAUUAGAGAUGACUGCAGACUUAUGCUGGUAAUGUUGUUUCAUGAUUUAAAUGUACCCACAUCAACAUUAAAAACAAUGUUUAAAACAGUAAGUUAUACACACUGUCUUAAUUUUAUUAUAAAAGGAAAUUUAUUCUGCAGAGAUCAAUAUCAUGAUGUAAGAGUGUUGCUUAGAGCAAGAUAUUGGUCUAAGAGUAAAGGAGCCUUUACUUGUGAAAGCGAAAGAGAAAAAGAAGGAAAAGGAAAGGAGAAAAGGAAAAGAAAAGAAGAAGAAAAAGAAGAAAAGAAAAAGAAAGAGGAAGAG
ensembl:lncRNA